GGCGAACUCAUUGGCUCGGAGCGAUAGGAAAUUCAAGAGGUUGGAAUCUCGGAAGUCUCAUUCCUGGUGGUGGGACAGCCACGUCAGCCCCAAAAACUCUAGAUGGCUCACGGAGAAUCUCGAGGAGAUGGACCGGAGCAUCAAACGUAUGUUGAAGCUAAUAGAAGAGGAUGCAGAUUCAUUUGCUAAGAAGGCUGAAAUGUAUUAUCAGAA
rnacentral:misc_RNA from 1 species